AGGACGCGAGGCGGAGGGACUCCUCUGCACAGUGCUGGUGUUUGCACACGGGUGGGAAUCUGGGGGCAACUCUGCUGCAUCCCCGCGAGAAGGCGGAGGUGGUUACUUUACACAUUAAACCUAUGAUUUGUGACCUGCCCAAGAGUGAUGAUUUUAGGGCAAGUUUAAAAAGUCCAGAGAGCUGGGCUGAGGCUCGAGGCAAGUCCUGAACAUGACGGGCUUGACCCCAGACCUGGCUAAUGGUGAGGACCCCAAUCCAGCUAGGUGCUAAUGAAUGGCAGCUCCCCCGAGACCCAGAGCCAGGCUGGGACAGCCCAAAGCUGGGGCUUAAUCACUUCCAGAUGUGCUUGGGGCUGCCUGCUCCCUCUCCACAGCCUGGUACUAAAUGUUUGAUCUACUAAUCACCAGCAAACAUGGGAAACACCUGAAAUGUCCUUAUGCAGUCAGCCCCCAGCACUUGUUGCAGGUAACUGCACAGCCUUCAGCAUUCGUUCUUGCAAGUGAAGCCACCUGAGGGGGCAAGGCUGCUAUGGAGCAGCUGCAGGCUACCUACCACUGCCUGUGGGACAUGGGAACCAUGGUGAAAUGCUCCCGCUUUAGGGCAUCCUGGGUCCUUUUUCAGUUUGGUUGAGAAGAAGGUGGUAGCAGCUUUUUAGACCUGCUAGAGAGAGAAGAACUGAUUCCUGUUUCCCACUGAGUGAGGAGCUUAUGCACUUGGAAAACUUCUCCAGCAUUGGAAAUGAGCCAUCGUGGACAGUAGCAGGGGAUUCUUCUGGAAGCCCUCCAGGCAUGGGCACAGGGUCCCAGCUGGCAGAGGGGUGUUUUCUUGCUGUACGUGAUUUAAAGAAGAACUCCAGGGGUCAGUGAUGACAGCAGAGCAUGACAUGCACUGAAGGAUGAAAUAUGGGAACUCUUUGCUGUGCUGCAACAUGCCCAUCAGCUGGUCUCACAGGGUGCUGGUGUCUCCUGUUCAGGAGUGGAGCUGUGUUGUGGAUGGGAAAUGGGCUGAGCAGGUCUGGCUAUCUGCUGACACCUCAAAAUACACCUCAAAAUACAGAGGAAACUCUAUGCUGUCAUCUCCUGUAGACAGACCUCUGAGUUAUGCAGAUGUGUACCAAUGCAACAGACACAGGUUUCUGCUGAUACAGUGGUUGGUGAUGCAGCUGUUGAGCAGUGCUUGCAGUGGCCAGGAGGUGAUGAUAUAAGAGAUGGGCUAUUUUUAUAGCAGCUGACGGACCCUGGCUCUGUUCAGGUGUGGCUGCAGAAAUCCCUGUUCCUGAUUCAUGCACUGAUAAUAAUGGAGUCCUAGAACCAUUGUUUUUUUUUAACAAUGGAGCAACAAUUGUGCUAUUUUUUUUCUCCCACAAAUUUUGGCUUAAAGAAAGGAUGUAGAGAUGCAGUAAAUUUAUGAGCCAACUAACUAUCUUUGGGAAAUAACAUCUGUAUUCACUGCAAAAUUCUUCUGUCCUGGAAUAAAACAGCCUGGCUGCUGCCUUGGUUUCCA
rnacentral:lncRNA from 1 species